rnacentral:rRNA from 1 species
GCUCUCGGGUGACGAGCGGCGGACGGGUGAGUAAUGUCUGGGAAACUGCCUGAUGGAGGGGGAUAACUACUGGAAACGGUAGCUAAUACCGCAUAAUGUCGCAAGACCAAAGUGGGGGACCUUCGGGCCUCAUGCCAUCAGAUGUGCCCAGAUGGGAUUAGCUAGUAGGUGGGGUAACGGCUCACCUAGGCGACGAUCCCUAGCUGGUCUGAGAGGAUGACCAGCCACACUGGAACUGAGACACGGUCCAGACUCCUACGGGAGGCAGCAGUGGGGAAUAUUGCACAAUGGGCGCAAGCCUGAUGCAGCCAUGCCGCGUGUGUGAAGAAGGCCUUCGGGUUGUAAAGCACUUUCAGCGGGGAGGAAGGCGUUAAGGUUAAUAACCUUGUCGAUUGACGUUACCCGCAGAAGAAGCACCGGCUAACUCCGUGCCAGCAGCCGCGGUAAUACGGAGGGUGCAAGCGUUAAUCGGAAUUACUGGGCGUAAAGCGCACGCAGGCGGUCUGUCAAGUCGGAUGUGAAAUCCCCGGGCUCAACCUGGGAACUGCAUUCGAAACUGGCAGGCUAGAGUCUUGUAGAGGGGGGUAGAAUUCCAGGUGUAGCGGUGAAAUGCGUAGAGAUCUGGAGGAAUACCGGUGGCGAAGGCGGCCCCCUGGACAAAGACUGACGCUCAGGUGCGAAAGCGUGGGGAGCAAACAGGAUUAGAUACCCUGGUAGUCCACGCCGUAAACGAUGUCGAUUUGGAGGUUGUGCCCUUGAGGCGUGGCUUCCGGAGCUAACGCGUUAAAUCGACCGCCUGGGGAGUACGGCCGCAAGGUUAAAACUCAAAUGAAUUGACGGGGGCCCGCACAAGCGGUGGAGCAUGUGGUUUAAUUCGAUGCAACGCGAAGAACCUUACCUGGUCUUGACAUCCACAGAACUUAGCAGAGAUGGUUUGGUGCCUUCGGGAACUGUGAGACAGGUGCUGCAUGGCUGUCGUCAGCUCGUGUUGUGAAAUGUUGGGUUAAGUCCCGCAACGAGCGCAACCCUUAUCCUUUGUUGCCAGCGGUCCGGCCGGGAACUCAAAGGAGACUGCCAGUGAUAAACUGGAGGAAGGUGGGGAUGACGUCAAGUCAUCAUGGCCCUUACGACCAGGGCUACACACGUGCUACAAUGGCAUAUACAAAGAGAAGCGACCUCGCGAGAGCAAGCGGACCUCAUAAAGUAUGUCGUAGUCCGGAUUGGAGUCUGCAACUCGACUCCAUGAAGUCGGAAUCGCUAGUAAUCGUAGAUCAGAAUGCUACGGUGAAUACGUUCCCGGGCCUUGUACACACCGCCCGUCACACCAUGGGAGUGGGUUGCAAAAGAAG